UACGUAGGGUGCAGGCGUUAAUCGGAAUUACUGGGCGUAAAGCGUCUGUAGGUGGUUUAAAAAGUCCACUGUUAAAAAUUGAAGCUUAACUUCAAAGAUGCAAUGGAAACUUUUAAACUUGAGUAUGGUAGGGGUAGAGGGAAUUUCCAGUGGAGCGGUGAAAUGCGUAGAUAUUGGAAAGACCACCAAUGGCGAAGGCACUCUACUGGGCCAUUACUGACACUGAGAGACGAAAGCUAGGGGAGCAAAUGGG
rnacentral:rRNA from 1 species